rnacentral:rRNA from 1 species
GAAUAUUGGACAAUGGGCGAAAGCCUGAUCCAGCCAUGCCGCGUGAGUGACGAAGGCCUUCGGGUUGUAAAGCUCUUUUGGCGGGGACGAUAAUGACGGUACCCGCAGAAUAAGCCCCGGCUAACUUCGUGCCAGCCGCCGCGGUAAUACGAAGGGGGCUAGCGUUGUUCGGAAUCACUGGGCGUAAAGCGCACGUAGGCGGACUUUCAAGUCAGGGGUGAAAUCCCGGAGCUCAACUUCGGAAUUGCCUUUGAUACUGUUGGUCUCGAGUCCGGAAGAGGUGGGUGGAAUUCCUAGUGUAGAGGUGAAAUUCGUAGAUAUUAGGAAGAACACCGGUGGCGAAGGCGGCCCACUGGUCCGGUACUGACGCUGAGGUGCGAAAGCGUGGGGAGCAAACAGG